AAAAUGCAGGAGACCAGGCUAGCCUUGUUCUCACUUGGUUUGGUUUUUCUGGCUGUGUAACUCAUUGUAAGGAAGAUGAGUUGCUGUGACAGUGUUCCUGGCUAACUAGCACAUCCUGCAGAGAAGCUGGAAUUUCAACCUGUUCUGAAAAUUGCUCUUUCUCCUCCCCUGAAAUCAGAUAUCUGAUGUCAAGUAAGAACAAGGAUCUUCAGGAUCAUGAAGUAGUUUAGACCUCAAGUGAAGUUAAAUUUUGGACAGCCUUUCACCACCCAGGAGCUGAAACAUCUUACACAGCAAAGCAGCUGCACUGGCCCCCAAAUCUGUCAUUGUAAUGUUCUUCAGCCCUGCCUCAGAAGACAACAUCCAACUUCCUUCAGUGCCUGCCUGCUGAGGCUGCUAAUUAAUUGAUGAUCUUCCUGCAGGAACAGCUCUGAGAGCCUUCAACUGCUCUUCCUCCAGAUGCUAACACUCAGCAGUCAGCCAAACCCCAAACCCAGGCACACACUGCUCAUCUGCAGUGAUGGGGAAGGGAAAAGGACUUGUCCAACCUGACCACAAACACAGAGGGAAAAUGCCAAAAAAAUUAAUUAAGAAGAGCCAGAAUCAAGAGGAAAAGAAGGAUAGAUCUUUCAAAUUGUAAGUUUAAUUGCCCUGAGGCCUGAUGAACAAUACUUCUCCCAUUCUAAGUGCAGCCCCUUAGCUCAGCAGUCACACAGUGCAUGGAUCACCCUCCGUGUGAUGCACCAUGGAAUGUAACACAUCCUCAUUGCCCAGGUCAUGUCCUAGAGAAGAGUUAAUUCCUGUGCUCGCAGAAGGACAGCAGAGAAAGGUCCUUUGAGGAGCUCAGCGGGGCUCUGAGAUGUUGCCCUGUGUGGCUUUGGGCAGCAGACCACAUCCUGAGGUGAGACACCAAGAAAAGCAUCAGUGGCUCAUCCUUAUUCCCUUGAACCUGCAGAAAUGAGCUGGAGGUAACAGAGCUGAGAGCAAAGGGAAACACAAAUAAAGGUCAAAAUUGGUUCUAACUCUGCCUUCUCCUUCCCUAAUGCAUGGAGAUAAGGGAAUAAAGAUAUGUAAAUUUCUGCUUUGCCAUCUGCUUGGAGGUUGUGUUUUAGGGCAGGCCAGCUGCCUUCACUGUAUUCUGGAGCAACGACAGUGGAUGUCACAUUGAAAAUGCUGCUGCAAUUAAUCCUGCUGUGUUCAGAAUCCUUGAUUACACAUCUGCUUCUGUGUAAGAGCAGGUCUGGCUGAAAGUGAGACUUCUCUAAAACUGAUGAAAACCUGGUACAGCAGCCAUUGCUACAGACAUACUGUUCUCUUCCUGCUGGUCACAUUGGACAUGGCAACCCGGUGACACUUCCUCUUCCUCUGGAGGAUCCUUGCUCAGAUUGUUAAGGAGGGAAGGGAGGUCCUCAGACAGACAGCUGUAAUUCAGGGUUCCCAAUGGUGUUUUCCAGCCCCCUCCUUGACCCCUCUCAAGAGGCAAACAGAUGAAAAAAAGGGUUUUCCUUGCUAAAUCCGACUCUGAAUUCCCAGAGUAGUUCUCACUGCUUCAGAAACCCCUGUCCCAUCUCCCACAGAACGGAAAAGUUGCAAAUCAUCAUGUUCAAUCCCAUGGCUUCCAGCUGCAUCUUCCAGCCUUGCACUGACAAAUACUGAAUCAGGAGAAGCAAAGGAAGUGCAGGAACAGCUACACAAGGCAGCUGAAGCACUGAAGAUGCUGUAGGGUGUCCUAGGAGGACUCUUAGUGAGGUUUUGUCUCAGUUUCAGGACUUCAGCAGAUGUCAGCAGAGUAAAAUUUUACCACAUAAAAUUUUUUGAGAAGCCAGGAAUAUAAGAGGAAGGGACUCAGACCAGGGAGUCAAACUGCAGAAUCCAAGGCAGAUUUCCUGAUCUGGGGGUAUCCUUCCCUCAGACCUAAGGUCCCUGCUGACCUAAGAGCCUCUAACCCCAGCACCCAACACAGGAGAGCUGCUGGUGGAGCUUCAACCUGCACAGCACAGACAGCACUGGGUACGGCCUUGCCAUAAUCACAGCCCAGAGCCGAUUCAGUCUGUGCAGCUGGGAGAGCCCCCCGUGCUCUCCCAGCACAGAUUUAGUGAACAGAUGCAGUUUGGGGUGACCUCAGGCAGGCAGAGCUGUGUCCCUGCCUUGGCUGGCAGAGAUCAGCAAGACCAGUGUUGGAGGGGUCAAAGAUUCUUCUUUCACAAUUACACUCAGCUGCAAGCCAAAUCACUACAGAUUUUGGCAAAUUAAUAAAGGCAGAAACAAGCCUUUGCUGUUUCUCAUGAGAUACCUUCUCAGCUGCUCAGGGUGUAAAAGCCACUGCUGCGUAACACUGCAAUAGGAAAUUUUCCCAGCAAUUCCCAGCAGAGGACAGCAAAUCCUAACUCCACAUUUUCUGCCUCAGUUUUUUACAGGAAUCAGCAUCGAGUCCUCUGCUGAGCUCUGUCCAUUCAAAACCACCACACAUCCCCGGGCUGCUUCAACACCCUUCUCACUUUCCCUCCUUGGGAGCUCCAGAGCAGACGAGAGUUUUACAGGGACCAGUAAAGAUUUCUUCUGAUGUUUGUUGUCUUUGGAUGGGCAAGAAAACUUUAAAGGAUUUCUCUCUCUUUUUUUAUUUUUUUAUCCUGUCUUUAUUUUUCUUCCUGAUUUUCUCUGUGAUAAAAAUCAGAGAAUACUGUACAAAUAUAAACUAAAAGUAAAGUCUAAUCUUGCCUGAUUUUGCAGGACUUAAGAAUCUAAGAAGCAUGAACAGAUCUGGGCAGCCAAGUGGGUGUCCCUCUGUAAAUUGGAAGCUGGGGGAAAAGGACAAAACCUGGGCACCAGGGUUUCAGGAUUAGUGCCAGUGGCAGGCUGGGGUUUAUCAGCCAUGAAGAAGUCCCAGUCUGUUACUGAUCCUGGUUUGCGAUAAUUUCUAUCCACUUUAUGACUUCAAACUGGAAACAGUAUCAAGGUGGGGGUUGUAUUACCCAGCUGCUUCCCCCAGGCAGCCCAGCAUCAGCAAGGACAGCCUGUUCCAGCUCCGACCUCUGUAAUCACCGACAGAUCUCCUCCAGACACCCAGGUAUUCCCCCGCCUCCUGCCUGUGCUGCCAGACAGGAACCUCAACGCAAGCUCGAGUCCCAAGCAGCUCAAACUCUGCCCGGCCCCGGAGCCAAGGCGAAGCUCGGCUGCCCUGUCCGGUCCCCUCUCUGCCCACCCGGGCUGACCAAAGGGGGAAAUUCUCCAAGCGAGCGAGUCCCCAGCCGUGCGCUGGAGCAGGAGACAGCCGGCCCCCAUCACACAUGCAAAUGUCCUUCCAUAAUGGAGGGAUGCAGCCCAGCCCCUCCUCGCCUCCCCCUGCACGGAACUCCAAACUCCCCCAGCCCGCGGGUGCGAGCAGGACCCC